AAAAAAAGAACUUGACUUUUCCUUUUGGAUUUGAUACAUAUACCAUAUACAUACGCCAUUUUAGGGGGGAUUUUUCCUUUUUCUUCUGCACCAGUGGCGCUCAUCCUCACCAACACACACACACUGAUAGACCAAGAUUCACACACACAUACAGAGAUCGAAGGCAAGGGAGAAAAAAAGACAACAACAUUUAUACACGUACAAAAACUCCAUUCUUGUUCCUCUAUUUUACACCCUCACGAUUCACACACGCACAGAUUCCAUUAAGAACCCAUUGAUUUCGGCUGGUCCUAAAUAGAAAAUAGUUCAUCUAUAUCGAAUCUUUGUUUUCUAUUCAACAUCAGGUUUCCAUCUCAUCGAAUUAUUUAGGUCUGGUUUUGGGUUUUGAGAUUGGUGUUCAUCUUUGGGAUAUCGAUUUAGGGGGGUUUGUUAUCUCUAUUUUAAGUAGUUGAUUUGGAGAUGUAUAUUGAGUUUGUGUUCUUGAAUUAAAAUUUGUUCAAAUCGAAAUUGGCGAUAUCGAGUUGGAUUUUUGUCAUUGUUGAGGCUGAAGUUGAGGUUCUCAGAAGUGGAUUUUCUUAUAAUAUUCUUCGAAAAGUUCUGAAUCAGGUCCAUUUCUAACCUCAACUAUCUUAUUUUUUUGUUUACGAUAUACGAUAUUAUGGAUGGAAUGCUUUGGUUGAUGAUAUGAUCCUUAUUGUGUGGUUGAGCAAGUUUGAUUUGUUUUGGGUGAUUCUAUGUUGAAUUUGGUUAAUUAAUCGAAAAUUAUUUGUUGUUUGAGCAUGUUCGAAUCUUUGAUAUAGGUUAGUUGAUGUUGGAUUUGGAUGUGAGAAAUUGAAUUGAUAAUCGAAGAAUUAGUCUAUUAUUUGGGGAUGGAAUUGAUAAAUUGAUAAAAAUGUUGAAUUUAGAUUAACUUUGGUUUAUUGUUGUUUUGUUUAAUUCAUAAUGAGCAUGAAUAUUGUUUUGAACAUGAUAGAAUUAUGAUAUGUUGAAAUGGAUAGGCGAAUGUAGGUUUUGGUAGGCAAAAUUUAGGAAUAAGUUUUCUUGUUGAAUGUUUGAAUGUGGAAUUUGAGUUGAAUGGUUUGGUUUUAGUUCUUGCAUUUGGAAAUGUACUCAUUUAAUUGGGGAAUGCUCACGAUCACUUGUAUUUAUUCGUCAGGGAAUGGCCCGAAGUAUUUUGUAUUUGGAGGACGUCCAUGAUGAAAGCCUGAGGCAUUGGGUAGAAUGGGAGUGUAGUGUAAAAUUAGUGUAGGGUAGAAUAGGAUUUACAUUUUUGCAUUCUUUUUCUAUUUUGGGACUGUAUAAUUGGACUGAACACUAAAUUUUGGAUUAUUUUAUUUGAUUUUGCUUGAUUGAUUGUUGUGCAUGCUUUGUGUGGUUUAUACAUUCGUAGUGUCAAAUUAACCGAUAUGCUCCACCAAGAUACCGUGGUCGAGCCAUGGGAUCGUGGGGUGCCUAACACCUUCACCUCGGUUAACAGAAUUCCUUAGUCGGAAUCUCUAUUCACGAAUUAGUUUUAGAGUCAAAACCGUUUUGAAAAGAAUUUUUCAAAGGUGACUUGACACACCGGAUUAUGUCAACUGGCGACUAUGAGUUUUGAAUAUAAAAGGUCCUUUUCGAAACAAAUUUUCAUCUUUUGUCAAUUUAAUAAUAAAAUCCUUUCAAACCAUAAAAUGAAUCUUUUGGAGUUAAGAAGGGGUGUGACAAAACAUAGAAUUCAAAUCCUCAUAAUAUUUCACAAUAUUGCGCCAAUAUUGUGUCAAAGAUAUUGAUGAUAUAUCAUUUUGUAUCGGUUCACAAUGCGACAUAACAUUUUGAGAUCUCAUCACUUCAUUAUUUUUAGGUACAUGAACCUCCCAUAAGGUUUCAUGAAGUGUUAUGUCGUAGGCUCUUCAAGAGCUCAUUGCCUUCUUAUUAUGAUUAUUUGCUCCUUAUUUUUCAAGAAUUAUUUCAUUUGGAACCCGUUGUUCUACCAUGCUUCAUGAAUGCAUAGACUUUUUUCUUUAAGGACACAGAUUAGGAGCAUUUGCAACUUAAAUAUGAGAUGCGUUUGACAUUAGACUAGAAUUAUCUUUUGAAUAAGGAUCUGAUGAUAAUUCCUAACAUAUUUCAUUGUUGCUUCUAAUCUUCCCCUUAAGUUAGGAAUACUAAAAUACAUCCUCUAUCUUCUUUGAGAAAUCCAUAUUUGUGCAUCAUGGUAUAUUCAUUAAUCGUAUACUGCACAUUAACUAUUAGAUGGACAACGUGUGAUUCCUGACUUAGAAUCAACUUUGAGGGAAAAAUAAUCAUAAUUUAUUGGUUUGAUGCAUACAAGUACUUUUGUAUAUAAUAUUCAAAACCAACAAAUGAAGCUUUUUGUCCUCAAUGGUUUAACUAUUUGUUGAAAGAAUUAAAUGCCAAAUCAUUUUCAUCAAGAUGAAAUGUUUUGAUUGCACAAUCUGAAAGUUAUGCUCUUAACUCAAUUUCAUUGAGCAAGAAACUUUAUGAAUGUCAAACUACAGGUUGACAAUAAACGCACAUGUGAUCAUAUUAUAUUAAUGCAUCUUAAUUAAUCACAUGACAGGUGAACGGGUGAUACAAGACAGCCCAAGAACACAAGAAAACAAACACCAAAACAGUCCACUAGUUCAAGGAACUAUGGACCUCUUUUGGUGACCCCUCUCGGAUUCAAGAACACAACAAGAACACAAUGUAAUGAGGCGUUUAACCCUUAAUUUCAAGCAGCAAACCAAACUAUAUUAUGACAAUAAAAAUGAAGAACAACAAUGUUACAACCACAAUAACCAAACGGCUUGAACAACAACAACACAAACUACAAGAUUAGGACAAGAAACAAAGAUAGAUAGUUAGACAAGUGCUGAUGUAGUCUUAACAACCCAAGAGCAUAUUCACUCUUGGACCUUCAACACUUCAUAAAAAAAACACCUAACUCUUACAAUGACACAAGAGGGGCAUCCACCUCUAAAAGCACCAAAGUCUUAAGCUUUGCAACAUACAAGAGAAUCCACCCUUAUGUUAUGCCCUAAUUUCAGUUGUAAGAACUCUCUCUCAGAAGAGUAGUUUCUUCAAUAUCAAGAAUAAACUAAGAAAAUAAACCCUACAAGGUUCUAUUUAUACAACAUUACAAGUAAUAGAGAAAUGACGAAAGAGCCCUUUAGUGACUAGUCUUCAAAAAUAUUCAAAAGUGUCAUAAUUAUGUCAUACUUGUAUCAUCCUCUCCAUAUUGAGAGGAAUUUGACCACAAAUUCAUGGGCUCACCUCUUUUACAAAGGCACUUCACUAUCUCCUUCUUCCGGCCACACAUCUUCUCCAUACUCUUCAUUUUGUACUUCGGCUUCUUUUUACUCUCCAUCUUGUGGUUUGUCAUCAUUCUUAACUGAUUCAAUGCCCACCUGUUCUCCAAGAUAGUAUAAUAUACCCCCCCCUUAGGAUCAUAUUCCGCUGCUUUGGGCACUCACUAGCCUUUUGCCCCCACCCUUGAAACUUGAUUGAAACCCAUUCAGAUUGAAAGUAGAAUUUAAUUUACCUUCAUACCUUGGAGGAUGUUUUUGAAAACCCUUAGUGGCCUCGGGUUGGGUAUCCAUGAAUGAGUUCUCUUUGAGAUCCCUCUCAACCUCUAAAGCCACGUAGAAGAUGCCAUCUACGAUUUCGAAUUUGUGAAGUGUCAUGCGAGUGGAGAUGUCCUUGUUUAACCUAACCUUGAAGCGCACAAUGUCAUGACUUACUUGCUCACCUCGGUGGUCAAGUUUUAACAUCAAUUGUUGAAAUUCAUCGUAGUAAGCCAUGACACUCUUGCUCCCUUGCCUCAAAUUAUACAAUUUUACAAGAAGCUUAUGCUUAUAAGUCUCGGGCAAGUACCGUUCCCGCAUAAGGUUCUUCAACCGAAACCAAGGAGAAGGUUGUCCCCCAAUCAUCUCAUUCCCUAACCGUUUAACAUACUCCCACCAUGUAUUAGCAUACCCUUCAAAGUGAUCUAUAGCAUAGCAACUUUUCCUUUCUUUGGUGAGAUCAUUAAGUUGGAAGAUCUUGUCACAAACAACUCCUAUGCAAGGUAGGAUUCAGGAUCACUCUCACUUUUGAAAAUGGGAAGGCUCACUUUAAUGGAAUUGAGACCUAUAUCUUGAUUUGGAUGGCCAUAUCUCACCUCUCGGUCUAAAUCCCCAUGUCUACCCCUGAUUCUUUCUUAACUCAAGUAAACAUCAUCAUACGGCCCAUAAUCACCAUGUUUUUCUCCCCUACCAUAGCCCUCAACAUAGAUGGGUCUAUUUGGGUUAAGUGGAGCUUAUAGUGGCGGGAUUGGAUUUGGAUAGUAAAGUCUUUGGUUAAGUGGAGUUUGGAUGAGAGGGUUCGGGUUUGGUGGUGGUAUUUGGGUUCCAAUCCCUUCUUGUUGGACUUGGUGGAGUGGAGGCUGGUUUGGUCUAUCUUGUUCUUGACUUUGGGAGUAGAGAUUGGUUGGAUUUGUGGCAAUUGGUGGAUAUAGUAUUUGGUGCAUGGUCCCGGGAGUAAUAGUUGGGGAAUUGUUUUGAGGUGUGGAAGGUUGAAUCUUUUGGCUUUCCACACGUUCUAAUAUCCCACUUAUUGAUGCCACAUCCAUAUCUAAUUUCUCAAGACCCACAAUCAACCUAGCCACAUCUCGGGACAUAGUUUCAAGGCGAGCCAAAAUGAGAUUGAUGACAUUAUUAUCCAUUGUUUGAGCAUUUGAUGCCUCGGGUUCCAUUGUGGUUAUACCAAAAAUAACCCUUCAAGUUACAUUCCAACAAGACACACAAUCAGUCCACAACGCCAAACACAACAAUAUAAUACAAAUUCUACAAAACAAAACACACGUGAGUUCAAAACAACGUCCCAUAAUGAGAUCCCACCUUCAGGUUUCUUCAAACUCAAGCUUAAUAAAUGUGGAUGACUCAAAUAACCUCCAAUUUAGCUCAAAUUCUAACCUUAUACUCCUAUAGUGUUAGAGAACACAAAUCUAACACUAAAAACACAAGAAAACACAAAAUCAAAAACUCAAAAUUUGACCUAGGGUCAAAAACGGGUUUAGUUUUUUGGGGGGAGAAUUUUCUAUUUGGACACUUCUUUUUUGUUGGGAUUAUUAAUUUCUAGACCCUAAUAGUGUUAGGGAGCAAGGAUCUAACACUAUAAACACACAAAAAUCAUGUUUUUUUGAAAAACCCUAAAAACAUGAACAGUAACUUUUUUUUCUUUUUCUUUCUUUUCACUUUUUUUUUAUUUUCAAGAUAAUAAUCCCAAGAUUGAUUUUGUUGAAACAAAAUCAAACCUUUAUUUGAUGCCAAAUGAUACAAUAGAGACCAAGAACACAAGAAAACAAACACCAAAAUAGUCCACUAGUUCAAGGAACUGUGGACCUCUUUUGGUGACCCCUCUCGGAUUCAAGAACACAACAAGAACACCAUGUAAUGAGAUGUUUAACCCCUAAUUUCCAUCAGCAAAACAAACUAUAUUAUGACAAUAAAAAUAAAGAACAACAAUGUUACAACCACAAUUACCAAACGUCUUGAACAACAACAACACAAACUACAAGAUUAGGACAAUAAAUAAAGAUAGAUAGUUAGAAAAGUGUUGAUGUAGUCUUAACAACCCAAGAGCAUAUUCACUCUUGGACCUUCAACACUUCAUACAACAAACACCUAACUCUUAAAAUGACACAAGAGGGGCAUCCACCUCCCAAAGCACCAAAUUCUCAAGCUUUGCAAUACACAAGAGAAUCCACCCUUAUGUUAUGCCUUAAUUUCAGUUUUGAGAACUCUCUCUCACAAGAGUAGUGUCUUAAAUAUCAAUAAUAAACUAAGAAAAUAAACCCUACAAGGUUCUAUUUAUACAACAUUAUAAAUAAUAAAGAAUGACAAAAGAGAUCUUUAGUGACUAGUCUUCAAAAAUACUCAAAAGUGUCAUGAUCAUGAUCAUACUUGUAUCAACGGGUCCAUAUUCACCUUUUAUACAUUUCAUAUCUUAAGGGAUCCAAUCCCAAUAUUAGUUGGUCCAACCAAAUUUUCAUGAGAACAAGCAGCAUUAAAGUUCAUGAAGAAUUUUUGAAUUCUUCAAUAUAUGUUCAAUAUUCAGUAGGCACAUGUCGACUGUUCAUGUCAAUUUAUGAACUUUUAUUGUAGUAAACUCCAAUUUUACCUUGACAUGCACCUUUUACUUUAGUAAAUUUCAUAUUUACUAUUACAUGAAUAAAUUUCUGAUUUACUACUUUAGAAGUAGAUUUGAAAAUAACUUUUCUCAAUUAUUCAGCCUCUUUCUGAGGUGAGUUGUGAUUCCAUCACAAUCAAGUACAUGUUUGCAUUAAUAAGCUUCUUAUUCCCCAGGUAUGGAAUAUAAUCAUGCCUUAAGCGUAUCAAAUUAUGAUAGCUACUACAAAAGCAAAUUGAGAUAUACAUAUGAUUUUUUGCUACCACAUUCAAUUCAAGGAAUAAAGCAUAUUUAAUGGGACAUAUUUCACAAAAUAUCCAUUAUUUUUUCCUUAGCCAUCAUAAUAUCAUUAAUAUGGUGCAUUGAGAUUCAAACUCAAUGUCAUAUCCAAAUAAAGGCGUCUUAGACAUAAAUCGCUGGGACUUGAACUCAACAUAUUAUCAUCUCUUCUUAUAAUAUUGUUCUUGAGGAAUAAAUUUAAAAUAUAAUGGUUUCAAACCAAAUAUUUUUCCUCAAAUUCAACAAUACUUAUAUUAUUAGUAACAAAAGACAGAUAGCAUAAGGAAUUACUAACCUUGAAAUCCUUUAAAUUUAUAAUUUCACCUAUUUGGCAGAGUCUCGUAAUGAUAACUUGCUAUAAAUUAAUAAAGAACAAAGAAGAAGAGUAGAGAGACAAGAGAGAGUAAUUCUUAUUACUUCUUGAGGGAUGAGAGAUCAUAAGAUUGUAAAUACAAUGAACAAAACUCCUCUAUUUAUAAGGGAAAUUUACUCCUAGUCUGAGUAAAAGACAGAUGCUUCAAAUCCUAAUAGAUAUCAAAGUAGAUCUUGAUAGAUCUUGAUAGACAUUCACUAUAAUGUAAAUACAUUUAUAACAUCUAUAAUGUUUUGACUUUAUUAUUUUCCUUCCUUAUAUAUUAAAAUUUCAACAAAUUCUAAUAUUUUCAUUAAUUUUUAUUUAAUAUUUUACCUUCAGUAAAAAUAAGGAUAUCCAAUUUUACUCUAUAUUCUCUAUUAGAUCGUCUAGAAUGAAUAGAUAAGUUUGUCAUUUGAUGAAGACAAGUAAAACAACCACUAAAGGAUGUGCAGUGAAUGGGGAUACUUCUUUCUUAACUAAAGGUCUCAGAUUUGAUUCUUGAUACGGAGUUCUUCCUCUGAAUGAACCUCAUGCACACUAAUCUAUAUUAAUCAGGUUCUAAUAUAGAUGUCAAACACCAGAUUAAAAAUAAAAAGAAAAAAAAGAAAAGUAAUACACAAUAAAGGAAGCGAUAUCGUUAGUUUUGUUUUAUUUUAAUUUUGAGUAUUUUGAUUUUAAUUUAUAAUUUUAUAUUAUAAACAUGACAUUUUAAUCAAUACAAUUCAAAUUAUUUUUACUUUUCCAUUUAAACAUAAUAACAAUAAUAACUCAAAAUACAUAUUCAUGUUUAAAUUUAUUUAAAUAAUCAAAUAUUGUGAAAGUAUGAUUUCAUUAUGAUAGGAUAUUUUAAUUUAAAUUUGAAUUCACUUUGUUGAUAUCAAAAAGCUGAAUUGACCUUUUUUCUCGAUGUUUUAAAUAAUUUUCAAACUUGAAAUGGUAUGAUACUUGUGUGUUUCAUCACUAUGCUUUUCCUAUUCUAUAUAAUAGAUUCAACUAUUCAUUCUAAAUAUACGUUACUUAAUUUUUUAUGUAAAUAUGUAUAAAAUUUGUAAAUAUUGAUGAUAGUAUAAGUUUUUAUUAGUAUGUGCAAUCGCAUAAAUAAAGAGUGGCAAUAAACCCUGAAAAUUAAUAUCGAAUUUGUAUAUGAGAAAUAAAUCUUCAUAGUAAUUUUACUUAUAAUUUAUUUUACUGAAAAUGUAUUGAUACAGUUAUCAUGAUUGGUACAUCUUCAACAACAAUGUCAAUGCUCUCGAAAGAAACUACAAAAAUUAAUGUGAUAAUAAUAAAUGUUCACUCGCUGAAUGGCUGAAACUAGAUUCAUUUAAACUUUUGGCUAGAGUUGUGGCUUUCGAUAUAAUUUCCCUCUCUAAGUAUUUCCCCCUCUACUCUUUCACUUAUGAUAUCUGUUGUGCAUAAAUCAAUUACAAAUACACUCUAAAAAAAUCUCUAAAAUUCACCAUUAUAUAUCGUUAAAUAGUUCGAAGCUAAAAGAAUUUGACAUAAUUCGUCGUUAAAUAGAAUUAGUAAUGAAUUUUUUAAUGUUUAUCGACAUAAACUAUCCAUCGCUAACUCCUAUUUUUAGUAUGUUUUGUAAUGUUAUUUUUAUAUAUAAACAAAUUUCGUAAAUAUGUUGAAGUUAACUAUUCAUAUGAUGUAUGAUAUAAUUCAAUUUUAAUUGAUAUCUUCUUAAAAUAAAUGCAUAGUUGCAUGUGAUGAACACAUUGAGCUCUUAGAAAAGCAAGCUAUGAAAGAUGGAGCUCAUCUCUACCUCAAAAAUAACAAGGAUAUUAAGCAAAAGGACAACAUAAUGUGGACUGGGGAUCUUCAUGCCAAAUUCAUAAAAAGUUUACAACUUGGUAAAGGAAAUAAGUUUAUUUUACUAUUAAUUAUUUUUUUUUACAAUUUAUUUCUAAAGAGCGACAUGAAUAGCUAAAAUUUUUACUUAUGUCUAAUAUCAACUUGUAUUUACAUGUAUCUAGGCUUGAUUUGAAUAUAUUAUAGUUAUUAAAUUAUAUUGCAUACUUGUGGACCAUGUAGAAUGUUACCCAAAGGAUAUUCUAGAAAUGAUGAAGUGUGAGGAUGCAAAUUGCAAUUCAUCUCUAGGUAGGUCUUUACAAAAAUUUAAAUACGUCUUUACAAAAAUUGAAGUGAUAAAUUAUGUAACUUUUGAAUGCAUUUACUACAGUUAUUCUACAAAAAGAAAUUAUUUUAUAAAAGUUAUUUUCUCAAAUUUUUAUUUUACAAAAUGUUUUGGUUGAAACUAUUUGUUAUCAAACACUUGUCUUAGAAGGUAUUCUUUCUACAACUAUUUAAUUUUAAAAUUUUAUAUUUAUAGUAAAAAAGAAAAAUCAAUGUUAUAUCACUUCCACCAAUAAAUAUUUCGACAUUAUUCAACCUUUAGUUUGGAAAACCUUAUCAAAACACUUUGUAAUUAAAAAGAUUAGAGAUAGACUUUGUUUACAGAUGAAAGUUAAUGAAUCAUUGCUAAUUUCUUUAUUUUUUUAGUGACAAUGCAAUGAAAUUCCAUUUUUUUCAAUCUUUAAUUCAUAUUGUUUUCAAAAGACAGUUAUCGUUCAGUAAUCAUCAAACAUCAAAAAUAUUUUUCAUUAAAAAUAACUCUGUAGCUCAUAUGAUAAUUUAAUACAUUCAUGGUGUAACUCUCUUUUCUGUAUUCUAACAUCUCUCAACAAUUUCAUAACAACGUCAAUUGGAAACUCUGAAAAAGUGUGUUGAUCAACCAAGGAAUGCCUGAGUGGAUUCUCAAUAAAGUAGUUUUAGAAAAUUUGGGACAAUGUUCUAUUUCUCCUACUAGGCUGUUUUCAAGUUUUGAUUUAGUUGAAUGAUUGUUUUUUUUAAAUAAAUUGUUGGGUUUUUAUAGCAUUUUAAUAUUAAAUUUUCUAUUGAAAUGUUGCAUGUUGAAGUGCAUUGAAAUGCUGCAUACCGUAGCAUCUUUUGAUCUUUAUCUCCCACGUUUCAUUGUGGUAAAAAUAGUCUUUUGAUUACUCCUCUUCCAUGUUUAAUUGUGGAAGAAUGCACCUGGCAUUUUUCUUCAAUAACUUUUGUUACAUCUAAGAAAAUCUGAAUGUCUAAGCUCAAUCUAUCAUUUAUGAGUUUCAUCCACCAAUGAUGAGGUCAAGGAGUUGAACAGAGUAAUGUGCAGGGAAGAAGAAAAGAAACUAUUUCUUUGCAUUUUUUGAUUGAAAACUGUAUAAAAUAUCUAUACACCUCACUAUUUAUAGAGAAUCUUGUAACAAACUCAAUUAUACAGCUCAACAUCAGCUUAUUCUAACUAACUAACUCCCACUUGCGCUCACUUACACAAUAAAAAUAGAAACUAUGAAUGAACAGUAAGAACUAUAUUAUUUCAAUGGAACAGUAAAAAAUUACUUCCUCAUCUAUCUUGAGGUUGCAAUACUCCCCCUUAAGCCGAAGGGUGCAGGAUAUUAAGCACACCAAUCUCGCCCAUCAAAUGCAAAUAUUGAGGUUGAUAGAGACUCUUAGUAAGUAAAUAAACCACUUGAUCAUGAGUUUCAACAUAAAGAGUCUCAACAAAACCAGACUUAAUCUUGUCUCUAAUAAAGUGAUAAUCAAUUUCUAUAUGUUUAGUUCUCUCAUAAAACAUAGGGUUUGCAUCCAGUUGAAUAGCUGAUCUACUGUCACUGAAUACCUUGAUAGGUUGAGUGAGAGGUAUAUCCAAGUCAUUGAACAGACCAACCAACCAAGUCACCUCUGCAAUCACUGAAGCCAUGCUUCUAUACUUAGCUUCAGCUGAGCUUCUGGAUACUGUAUGUUUCUUAUUGAACUUCCAUGAGACCAAGGAAUCUCCAAAUUUCACUAUAUAGCUAGUAACAUACCUCCUAGUUCUAGGACAGGCUGCCCAAUCUGAAUUACACCAACAAAAAUAAGUCGCAGUAGGUUGAGCCUUUAACCAAAUGCCUUGACAAAUAGUACCCUUAAGGUAUAUAACCACUUUAGUAGCAGCCUCCCAAUGAGAUCUUUUAAGAUUUUGCAUGAACUGACAAAGAUUUUGAAUAAUAAAACUAAUAUCAGGUCUGGUAAUAGUAGCAUACAUCAAUUUGCCAACAAACCUCUGAUAAAAGGUAACAUCGGUCAAAAUUGCAUCUUUAGGACAACAUGUGCACAAUCAUAUUCCAUUGUAGUCAAUUUGAGAUUAUGCUUCAUAGAGUGAAAACAGGCUUAGAACCACUAAGACCUGUUUCUAAGAUAAGCUCCAAAAUAUAUUUUCACUUAUUCAGCAAAAUAACUGUGGUUGAUAUUAGCACUUUAAUUCCCAAAAAAAUACUUAAGCUCACCUAAGUUCUUCAAUUUAAAUUGCUUGUGUAGAACCUCCUUAGAAUUAGAUAUCAAUGAGGUACUGCUACCAAUGAUAAGUAAGUCAUCAACACAGACUAAAAUUAUCACUAUGUCUUCCUGUUUCGUCUAAGUAAACAAGGAAUAGUCAUGUACACUCUGAACAAACCAGCAUUUACCAAGGUAUUAGUAAGUUUUAGCUUCCAUUGUCUGGAAGCCUAUUUAAGAAUAUAAGGAUUUCAACAAUCUGCAUACUCUCUUUUAUUGUUUGAAACCUUCUGGCAUCUCCAUGUAAACCUCUUCAUCCAUAUCACCUUGUAAGAAAGUAUUGUAGGGAUCUAUCUGACAUAGAAACCAACCUUUUGAAUCUACUAAAGCAAUUACACUUCUAACUGUAACAAUCUUAGACACAUGAGAAAAGGUAUCAUGAUAAUCCAAACCUUCUUGUUGACUAUAACCUUUUGCUACCAAUCUAGCUUUGAAUCUCUCUACCUCUCUAUUAGCUUGAUAUUUGAUCUUAUAAACGCACUUGGAUCCCAAAACAUUCUUUCUGGGUGGUAAAGGCACCACCUCCCAGGUCUUGCUUUCUUUAAGUGCUUGAAUCUCUAGAUUCAUGGCCUCAACCUAUCUUGAAUCUACUACAGCUUGCCUAAAAGUAUGUGGUUAAACCAAGGUAGAUAAUUUUCUUAAGUAGCUAUGAUAUGACUUUGUAGUUUUAUCAUAGAAGAGGUAGUUUUCCAUGGAAUAUCUACAUUUCUUUCCAUCAUUAGAAGUAGCAUAGUCCUUUAGCCACACAGGUUGUCUAGACAUCCUAGAUGUUCUUCUUAGAGAACAUAUUGCAGGAGAAGAGGACAGUAGAAUAGAGGUGCAAGGGACUUCAACUUGAUCAUCAGAUGUUGUAUUGUUUUAUGAGGUAGACUCGACCAUAGAAGGUUUCUCAUCUACAUUAGUGCUAGAAAAUUAUAUAUCCUCUACAAAAAAGGUCAUUCUCUAAAGGAUCAUCGAUUUCAAUAGGCAUAUUUGUGAGCUCUGUGUUGACAAAAUUUCAGUGUGAUUGUGCAAAAUAUUAUGAGAACUCAACUAAAACCAAUUAAAUACAUUCAUGGUGAACCUUGUUGGGUUCAAUAUGUAUGAAAAAGGUGUGAAUGGAAAAUGGAGAGAAAAAUGGUGGAAGAAAGGAGACACCAAUUUAGAAGGUGUACACCCAAAAUUCAAAAGUUCACUAAUUCUCCCGCAUUAGCGGAAGAAGGGAAAUAUGGAGUGUUUUUAAUAGAAAAUACUUACUCCUAAUGCUAAGUUAGGCAAGAAAUAAGAAAUGCCUCGCACCGUCGUGUCUCUCACUCGGCUUUGGAUUUGGAUUUGAAAAAUGAUCGAUCGAUGAGAUCUAUCUUUUUGGACAAAGUUCAUUUCACGUAAAUUUAAUCGGAAAGCCAAAAAGGAAAACACACCAGUAAUCCUCCAUUUAUACAUGCAUACAGAUUUCGAAAUAGUAUUUUUUUGAAAUGAUACACUGCUUCAAACUGAUGCAAUUAUUCAAUGAAAUGAUAUGUCUGUUCAACGAUCUAAUGUACUAUUUCAUGAACUGGUAUGUCUAUAUGGAGAAGGACACGUUCUUUGGGUAAACAGACAUGAAUUUCUAGAAACAUCACACCAUUUAAGUGAACCAAUGCCCCUUUUUCGAAGAUAUCACAGGCUAUAUAAACAUGCUUUCAUUCACAGGUUUUGAUAUGAAUUUUUCUGCAAUAAACUCUCUUCUUGUCUUUACAAAUACUUUGUAUGAUCAAUCAGUCUGUUAAGUGAGUUCGACGAUAUUCCAAUGGUUUGAGAUACCGCUACAAUUGGUCUGUUUGGCCAUUUUAUCCUGGGAGAAAAAUUCUGCAACCUCGGGUACAGUGAGGGGAAUUAUUUCCUUAAGGAAAGUCCAUAAAUUCGGGCGACUUGGUCAUUUCUGUUUUCAUCUUUAUUUCUAAAAAUAAAAUACACUUCUAAGAAAGAUCACUUUGAUCUUGUGUUGAGGGUAUUUACUACACUUCAUUGUGUUCUUAUUUUUAAACAUAGAACUAACGUUGAAGUUGUUUUUCUACAUAGACAGAUUCUACAUACCCGUAGAAGCAAAUAACAAUCUUGAGGAAAUAAUUUUCAGAAUCUGUAUAGCUUAUUUUUGGAGAUUAAUGUUUUAACUUUCUACUCCUCUUGAACUUAACUAUUGAUUUGAAGUAAUAAAAACUUCAUCACAAGUUAAAGAUCAUUCGGUUGACAAUUGAAAGUCAUAAAAACUUCAUUGUCAACUAGAAACAAGUAGAAAAGUUUAAAGUUCCUUAACUUUAUAAGUAGUAUUUUGAAAAUACUAAUUAUUUUUUGUCUUGUGAUGACAUGAGAAAUGAAAAGCGAUAGUCAAAUGCAAGGUGCGGAAACGUCUGUGGGGGCAACUAAUAUUGGCACAUCAAGUCGCACAAAUGUACGCCUACAAUGGCACCAGUGGAGAAGCCCAGAAAAUUUUCCGUCAUUGACUUUAAGUGAUGGUAGCAAAAGAUGUUCUUUUUCCUCACCACUUUGUGUCUGCAAUGGUUCACUAGCGAAGAUGCUCCUGAGGUGCCCGAGGGAACCUCGGACAAAGAGCGUUUCAUAAUUGUAGAAGAUUGGAAACAUUCAGACUUCCUUUGUAGGAAUUAUAUUCUGAGUAAUCUCCAAGACCACCUCUAUAAUGUUUACAGUGGAACUAAGACAUCGAAGGAAUUAUGGGGGGGCACUUGAAAGAAAAUAUAAAAUAGAGGAUGCGGGAAUUAAGAAAUUCCUUGUUGCACGGUUCCUGGACUUUAAAAUGAUAGAUAGCAAAUCGAUUGUCUCUCAAGUGCAGGAGUUACAAGUCAUCAUACAUGAUCUCCUAGCAAAAGGUAUAUCCUUGAAAAAUACCUUAGUUGAACAAAUUAAAAAAGUUCUUAAUACUCACAUAAACUGUUUUGUAGGUUUGAUUGUGAAUGAUGCAUUUCAAGUAGCAGCGAUAGUUGAGAAGCUACCACUUUUGUGGAAAGACUUUAAAACCUACUUGAAGCAUAAAUGCAAGGAGAUAACUAUCGAAGAGGACAAUAAAGUUGUCGAGAGAAGGUCAAAAGGGAAUUCUACAAUUAAUGAAGCACAUAUUGUAGAAGAUGACCAAAACAAUUCUAAGACAAAAAAGAAAGACGGACAAGGAAGCCAUCAACCCAAGAAGAAAUUCAAGGGAAAAUUCUUCAAUUGUGGCAAGAUUGGCCACAAGUCCACGGAUUGUCGAACCCCGAAGAAAGGUAAGAAGAAGGAUCAAGCAAAUAUGAUUGAAUCCAACAAAGAAUGCGAUGAUCUUUGUGCUAUGCUCUCAGAAUGCAACUUGGUGGGGAAUCCUCGCGAAUGGUGGAUGGAUUCUGGUGCCACCCGCCAUGUAUGUGCCAACAAAGAGUUGUUUUCUUUAUUUGCUCCAGCUCAAGUAGAAGAAAUGAUCUACACGGCUAAUUCCGCUACUGCUAAUGUAGAAAAAACAAGAAAAAUAUGCUUGAAAAUGACUUCAAAAAAGGUUUUGACACUUAAUAAUGUCUUGUAUGUUCUGGAGUUAUGUAGGAAUUUAAUUUCUUUUUACUUUCUAGACAAGAACAAAUUCAAAUGUGUAACCGUUUCUGGAAAAAUUGUAAUUAGCAAAGGAAAAAUGUAUGUAGGAAAAGGCUAUCUAACGGAAGGCCUUUAUAAGAUGAAUGUAAUGACUAUUUAAAUAAAUAAAAGUUCAAAUUCUUCUUAUUUGCUUAAGUCUUAUGAUUUAUGGCAUGAAUGUUUAGGCCAUGUUAAUUACAAAACGUUACAAAAACUGAUUAACUUAGAAGUUUUACCAAACUUUGAGUGCAAUAAAUCAAAGUGUCAAUUGUGUGUGGAAUCGAAGUAUGCAAGGCAUCCUUAUAAGUCCGUUGAAAGGAAUUCCAAUCCCUUAGACUUAAUACACACUGAUAUUUAUGAUAUGAAGUCAACACCAUCACGUGGUGGAAAAAAGUAUUUCAUAACUUUUAUUGACGAUUGCACGAGAUAUUGUUAUGUCUAUCUGCUAAAUAGUAAGGAUAAAGCAAUAGAUGUGUUUAGACAAUAUAAAACUGAAGUUGAAAAUCAAUUAGAUAAAAAGAUAAAAAUGAUAAGAAGUGAUAGGGGCAGAGAAUAUGAAUCUUCCUUUGCCAAAAUAUGUGUAGAAAAUGGCAUCGUCCAUCAAACUACCGCCCCGUAUUCACCUCAAUCUAAUAGAAUUGUUGAAAGAAAAAACCGAACUUUGAAGGAAAUGAUGAAUGCCUUACUUAUAAGUUCUGGUUUACCGCAAAAUCUUAUGGUGAGAGGCUAUCCUUAUAGCCAAUUGUAUACUCAACAGAGUUCCCCAUUAGUAAAACAUAAUCCAUUCCUUAUGAAAAAUGGAAAGGAAGGAAACCCAACUUGAAAUAUUUCAAAGUAUGGGGAUGUCUAGCAAAGGUACAAAUUCCUAUGCCUAAAAGGAUUAAGAUAGGACCUAAGACAGUAGACUGCGUGUUCAUAGGAUAUGCUAAAAGUAGUAAAUCAUAUCGAUUUUUGGUUCAUAAAUCCAACCAUCUGGAUAUUAAUGAAAAUACGAUAAUUGAAUCAGACAAUGCUGAAUUUUUUAAAAACAUUUACUCGUAUAAAAUUAGACAUGAACAGUCUAGCGGAGGAUCUAAACAACCUCGAUAUGAACUAAGUGAGAUUGUACAUGAUAAAGAAAAUCCAAGACGUAGCAUACGUCAAAGAAUGACUACUUCAUUUGGAUCGGAUUUUGUAAUAUUUCUCUUAGAAAAUGAGACUCAAACAUUUAGGGAAGCGAUGACAUCUUCGGACUCAUCCUUUUUGAAACAGGCAGUCAAUAGUGAGAUUGAUUCAAUCUUAAGAAACCAUACAUGGGAAUUGGUUGAUCUUCCUCCCGAAAAUAAACCUUUAGGUUCUAAAUGGCUCUUCAAAAGGAAGAUAAAAACGGAUGGUACUAUUGACAAAUACUAGGCAAGACUUGUAGUAAAAGGCUUCAAAAAAAAGGCCUUGAUUACUUCAAUACAUAUUCGCCAGUAACAAGGAUAACAUUGAUUGUCAUGGUUGCGGUAUAUGGUAUUGUAAUCCAUCAAAUGGAUGUGAAAACCACUUUCCUAAAUGGAGAAUUGGAGGAAGAAAUUUACAUGGAACAACCUGAGGGUUUUAUGGUUCCAGGGAAGGAGAAUAAGGUGUGUAGACUUAUAAGUCAUUGUAUGGACUAAAGCAAGCACCUAAAUAAUGGCAUGCGAAGCUUGACCAAACCAUAUUGGCAAACGGGUUCAAGAUAAAUGAAUGUGAUAAAUGUGUUUACAUUAAAGAUACUCCGAAUCACCAAGUCAUUGUUUGUUUAUAUGUGGAUAAUAGGUUGAUCAUUAGCAGAGACAUUUCUGACAUAAAGGCAACAAAUGAAUGCUCGAGAGAAAGUUUGAUAUGAAAUACGUUGGAGUUGCAGAUGAGAUCUUAGGUAUAAGAAUCCAUCGAACUCCACAAGGGUUAGCAUUGUCACAGUCUCAUUAUAUCGAAAAAGUACUUGACAAGUUCAAGUAUAUGGAAUUCGAUAUUGCCAAGACUCCAUUGGAUGUGAACUUUGCACUUCGAAAGAAUGAAGGUGAAAGUGACUCACAAUUAGAGUAUGCAAGAGUAUUGGGAUAUUUAAUAUAUAUAAUGAAUAGUACACGACCAGACAUAGCAUGUGCUAUUAGUAAAUUGAGUUGGUACACGAGUAAUCCCAACAAAACUCAUUGGAUGGCAAUGAAAAGAGUUUUGGGGUAUCUUAAAUACACUUAAGAUUAUUCUUUACAUUAUAAUAAAUAUCCUGCGGUACUUGAAGGAUAUAGUGAUGCAAAUUAAAUCAUGUGAUCGAACGAAGUAAAAUCCAUAAGUGGACAUGUAUUUACUAUCAGUGGAGGAGCAGUCUCUUGGAAAUCAUCCAAACAGACUUUUAUUGCUCGCUCUACAAUGAAAUUUGAAUUUAUCGCAUUGGAUAAAGCCGGUGAAGAAGAAUAAUGGCUCCAGAAUUUCUUAGAAGAUAUUCCUUAUUGGCCCAAGCUAAUGGCAGUAGUAUGUAUACACUGUGAUAGCCAAGAGGUAAUAGGUAGGACAGGGAGCAUGAUGUACAACGGUAAAUCUCGUCGCAUACGGCAGAGACAUAAUACCGUUAGGGAAUUUCUCUAUAGUGUAAUUAUCACUAUUGACUAUGUAAAGUCAAGGGAUAAUGUGUCGGAUCCACUUACAAAAGGCCUAUCUAGAGAAGGAGUAGAAAGGACAUCCAAGGGAAUGGGUUUAAGGCCUAGGACAAGUCAGCAUGGCGGUAACUCUACCUAGCAGACUGGAGAUCCCAAGAUCUAGGUUCAAGGAGAUCAAACAAAGUUGUGUCUGACAGGUUCAACAUUGUCCAUUACCCAACCCAUUCUGAUGAUGUUGACAAUGUAUAGUAAUCAAGGAUAAGACUUAAAGUAAAAAGUCUUUUAACGAUUAUCUAAAUUUUGCAGAUUGGACCAAAUAGUUUAAUCUAUAGGAUUGAACAUUUAGAAAUCACCUAUGUGAGGGCGAAGUGGAAGCCGUUUCAAGGAGAAUCAUGAAACCGGGAUGUGUUGAUGGCUGAAAAGAACAAAACUGUGAGAACCAUAAAAUGGUAAAAGGUUGGUUGUGUGACAUGUGUUGUCUAGGUGUACAUUAAAGUCCGAUGGUUCAAAGAUAUCAAAUCUACCGAUUGACCGAGUGCAUCCAAUGCAUGUUCACUACAGAAAGUUCAAAGGGAAACCCACUUAUCUAGAUGCAAUCAGUCUUUGCUUAAUGAUCACAUACUUGUCCAUAAAACUUUUACAAAAAAUAACUAUUCUCCAUUCAUGUGGGGGAUUGUAGGGUUCAAUAUGUAUGAAAAAGGUGUGAAUGAAAAAUGGGAGAAGAAAGGAGACACCAAUUUAGAAGGUGUACUCCCAAAAUUGGAAAGUUCACUAAUUCUCCCACAUUGGUGGGAGAAGGGAACUAUGGAGUGUUUUUAAUAGAAAGCACUUACUCCACAUGCUAAGUGAGGCAAAAAAUAAGAAAUGCCUCACGCCGUCGUUGUCGCUCGCUCGGCUUCGGCUUUGGCUUUGGAUUUGGAUUUGGAUUUGGAGAAUGAUUGAUCAAUGAGAUCUAUCUUUUUAGACAAAGUUUAUUUCACGUAAAUUUAAUCCGAAUGCCAAAAAGUAAAAUGCACCAGUAAUCCUCCAUUUAUACAUACAUACAGAUUUUGAAACUGUAUUUUCUAAAAUGAUACACUGCUUUGAACUGAUGCUGAUAUGUCUGUUCAACGAUCUGAUGUACUAUUUCAUGAACUGGUAUGUCUGUUUGGAGAAGGACACGUUCUUUGGGUAAAAAGACAUGAAUUUCCAGAAACAUCACACCAUUUAAGUGAACCAAUGCCACCUUUUUGAAGAGGCAUCUCACAGGCUAAAUAAACCUGCUUUCAUUCACAGGUUUUGAUAUGAAUUUUUCUACAAUAAACUGUCUUCUUGUCUUUACAAAUACUCUGUGUGAUCAAUCAAUCCAUUAAGUGAGUUCGACGAUAUUCCAAUUAUUUGAGGUACCGCUACAAUUGGUCUGUUUGGCCAUUUUAUCCUGGGAGGAAAAUUCCGCAACCUUGGGUACAGUGAGGGGAAUUAUUUUCUUAAGGAAAGUCCAUGAAUUCGGGAGACUUGGCCAUUUCUAUUUUCAUCUUUAUUUCUAAAAAUAAAAUACACUUCUAAAAAGAUCACUUUGAUCUUGUGUUGAGGGUAUUUACUACACUUCAUUGUGUUCUUGUUUUUAAACAUAGAACUAACGUUGAAGUUGUUGUUAUACAUAUACAGAUUUUGCGUACCCGUAUAAGGAAAUAAGAAACCUACACUCAAAUUUACAAUGGAGAAAAGAGAAGCAUAUGUUAUCGAGGAAGGGUUGCAUCAAGCAAUUGUGAUAAAACUUUCCUUAGGUGCACUAGAUUUGAAAGACCUAAGGACACUACUGCCCAAACAUUUCGGAAUCAAGGGUUAUUGUCUAAUUGGUUCAUUGGCACCACUACAACUCUUGCUAAGGUGCAUGUGAUCAAUAUGAUGAUUAUGUGACUGCUUUUGCAAGAUCAGUGAAAUAUUUUUCUUACAAUGGAAAGGUGCACUAAUAUAGGAUAUUCUCGUGGUUUACCGAUUUUAACUACAAAGAAGAAACUACUAAGCCAGCAGUGUGGAUUUCUUCGUUGAACUUGGCUCUGGAUCUAUUUUUUAAGAGGUUAUUAUUGUCUAUAGUAGCAGCAGUCGAAAACUAAUAGCUAUAGAUAAAGCAACACAAGUUAAGUCCAGACCGAGCACCGCUAGGAUUAAGGUGAUCCCAGACCUACUGGAAAAACUUUUAAAGAGAAUAAGAUUUUGAUAUUUGGACAAUAAAACUGGUAAGCUUGUAGAGAGUUUCUAGAAAAUUAUUUAUGAUAAUCUACCCUUGUGUGUAAUUUUUGCUCAAACACCAAGGACAUAAUGAAGGUACAUGAUGUUUGAUACUGAUAAAGAAACUAGAUACUAUGUAGAAUGCAGGUGAUGAAGGUUGUGAAGAAGCUAUUGGAGAAAAAUUUCAAGGGAAUAUGAGAGGAUUUUUGAAUGAGAAGAGAGGAUGGGAAGAUGGAGAUCGAAGACAUCAUGAAAAGAACCAACAACCAAACUUGUUGGAAAGUUCCCGUAUAGAAGUUGAGGUCCAUAACAAUGUUGCUAAGCUUGUUGGGUCGAAUGUUGAUUCCCAGUAGCAACAAAUUAUUGCAAACAAUAAUGCAAUAGGUGAUGUGGAUGCACGUGAGUUGAUGGUCCAAUCUGGAGAGAAUUCUAAGGUCUUAGUCCCUUCAUCGCAAACGAAAUAUGGACUACAAGUGAGGAACUUAAUUGUUGAACAAUACACUGAUGAACAACAGCAUAAUACAUCUUUAAACCCAUAAAUUUAGUGACCCGUAAGAUGUCACAGUCAGAUAUGCACCAUAGUCACGAUGUUGUGGCGAGCAGUGAAAAUUUUGGACAUCAUUCGUGCUUGAAUGUCGCUAAGAAAUCAUUGGAUAAAAAUUUAGAAGUUGAUAAUUUGCGGUCCCCUUCUAAUUCUACUCAUUUUGAACAUUCCAUCAGUGAAAAGCAUGUUACUGGUGAUGAAUCAGCAAGUAAAAUCAAGGAUGUGGAUAGCAGUAUUGACAAAGACUGGACCGUGGUAGCACAUAAAAAAUAUUUAGGCAUUCGAAUUAGCUCUUCUGCUUGUGUUAAUGUGCAGCUAGCAAGGAAUGUUCCAUAUGCUCGAGCUUCUUCCCCAAAGGACAUUUCUUGUCCAAAUACUUUUGAUCUUCUCUAGGAUAAAGUUGGUCAUGAAAUUAGUCCAAAAAACCUACAAUGCUUAUACUAAAUCCAGAGGUGGCUAAAGUAUUAAAGAAAAAUCAAUAACCUGAUUCUGUUGAGCAAUAAAGUGAUACUAGCUCUCAUUGUUAGGCAGAUUUGGUAAAUAAAGAAUAUGAACAUCAGGCGGAUAAUAUUGGCAGCAAACUUGAUGCUCAAGUUUCAAUUUUUGUCCCAAAUAAAUUUGCAAUUCAUAAUUAUUCAUCAAGCUGUAAGCAAACUUCAGGUGGUGUAAUAAAUUUCCUUUCUCCAAUUAAUACUGCCAAACAAUUGGUGGAAAGUGAUAAUUUGUAUUCAAAGAGUUUUGAAAACCUCCAAGACGAUGACACAUUUGAGGAAAGUGAUGAAGACAUGCUGGAAAUAUUCUUUGCAGGUGCAGCUCGGGAUGUCGAUAUCUCUCCUGGGCAAAAAAAAUAGAAAAAUAAAAAAAAUAUCACGGUAAAAAUCAAAGUUGGGAUGGUAAGGUGAUAGAGGAGUUUGGUCCAAGAACCACCGACAAAGCAAAAUCAUGCGACAGUGUCAACAACUUUAAUAAGACCCAACAAAUUCAAGAAGUGAUGAAUUUUCAAGUGAUUUUGAAUAGGUUCGAAAUCGAAUAUAUCAAUGUGCUUUAGAUGGGCCAGCGUUUCUUUUUAGUUCAUACAUUUGCAAAAAAGGAGUUUGUGAUUAAUAACUCAAACUUCUCAUUCAUCUUUAUAUUUUUUCAUUACUUCAGUAUCCUUCUUUGUAAUAUCAUCAUAGAGUGUAACAUAAACUCUAUAAUGAUCCUAAAAUAUCUAGUUCUCUCUAGUUCUUAUUUUUACACGCUUGUUGAUUAGUUGAGGGUUUGUUACCUCAUUAAGAAUGGUAAGGUAAGGUCUAACCCUCCUUGCCUAUAUUUUUCUCUUUUGAGGUUUAAUUUUUUUAAAAAAAAAAGGGGGGUGGUUGAUAUCUUUUAGUAACCAAACGUCUUAUUUUAAGUUUUUUUUUACAAAAAUAAAAAAUUUAUUUAUUUAUAUUUUAAAAAUUGCUAUGACUUCCAAUCUAAAAAGUAAUGUUAUGAAUUAUAAUAAACAACCUAAGGUUGUAUAUUUUAAUUUUUUUUUCCUUUUUUUUAAUUUAUGGAGCAAUUAAUAUAAAAUCUAGAACUAAUAUUUAAUAAAGGAUAGAUCUUGUUCGUCCACCGUCUAUUUGAUGGACGUACCAGAUUAAGUCUCAAUCUCUAUAAAUUAAUUCUCCUUAUGCUCAUUAGGGUUACCUCAUAUUAUCAAUACAAUUUCAUCAAAGACGGCUCUGAUAGCGAUAAUACAGUGGCAACUACUUAUUUUGAAAUGAUAGAUGAAGUUUGCGUGAUGCUAGUUAGUCAGAUCAAUAAUAUUACUAUCAAGAUUGUUGAUUUGCUAAAGUGUAAGGACUAUAAAGGUAACAUCUCUAAAAAUUUAUAUUGAACUUAUAAUUUUUGAUUCUUUGAUAUAAAUAAAUUAUAUGUGAUUUUCUUUUUAAAAGAGAUUUAAUUGAUAUGUUGAUAAUUUUCUCAUUUGCGAUUUUAACAUCGAUCUCUUUUAAAAAAAAAAAUUAUCUUAUAAAUUUUGAAAUUUUCUUUUCCUAGUUGUGACAACAUCAUUUCUAUGUUUGUUUAUGUUGUUUUACUAGUUAAAAUGAGUUUUUAUGUGUUUAUAAGGAAUUAAAUUAGAUUCUUUAUAAGCAUGUCACUUACUACAUUAGCUUUCCCUAUGACUUUUCAGAGGAGGACGAUAGUUUUACUUAAUAUUUGUAUCCUUUCAAAUUUAUCAAAUCUCCUUGAAGGGACACCAUUUUAUUAAUUAUUUAAUGACCUUAAAAUUAAUUUACGCUUGAUCUUUUUGAAGAAAAAGGGAAGAAUAAAUAAUUUUUGUCAAUAGGUCAAAGUGAUAUAGAAUCGGAGGAGAAACUAAAUUAAAUCUCUUAAGAAUAAUUUUUGAAGUUGCAUAUCUUUUGACUUUUACAAUCUAUCUAUCAUUUUAAAACAAUCGUUUGGAUGGUAGAGGUGACACAAGAUUAGGAAAUAGAGCGGGUAGAGAAAGACCAAGAAAAACAUCGAUUUGAUUAUUAUUACUAUUGAUCGCGAGAUAAUUUUCUUUUUUAUCUUAUAUUAGAUGUAGAAAAAAAAGGCAAGAAAAUAUGAUUUUCAUGAAAAAUUAUUUUCCUUUUAAUUUAAAUUCCCCUCUUAAUUUUGAGGAGUUUUUUCUUCCACUCUAAUUUAACAUAUUAUUUUAUCAUUUUGACAUCUCACGCAUAUUUACUUCUGUAAUGUUUUCACUUUAUUCAUUUUCUUCCUUAUAUAUUAAAAUUUCAAUAAACUCUAAUAUUUUCACUAAUUUUUAUUUAAUAUUUUUCCUUCAGUAAAAAUAAGUAUAUCCAAUUUUACUCAAAUAUGCACUAUUGGAUUGUCUAGAAUAAAUAGAUAAGUUGGUCCUUUGAUGAAGAUAAGUAAUACAACCACUAAAGAAUGUAGUGCAGCGGAUGGAGCUACUCCUUUCUUAACUAGAGGUCUCAUAUUUGAUUCUUGGAUAUGAAAAAAUUCUUGAUAGGGGAUGCAUCCUCCGAAUGGACCUCACGCACACGAAUUCAGAUUAAUCGGAUUCCAAUAUAGAUGUCAAACACUAGAUAGGAAAUAAAAAGAAAAAAGAAAAGUAAUACACAUGCAUAAUAAAGGAAGAGAUAUUGUUAGUUUUGUUUAAUUUUAAUUUUAAUUUUGGAUACUUUGAUUUUAUUUUUUAAUUUUAUAUUAUAAACAUGGCACUUUAAUCAAUACAAUUCUAAUUAUUUUUACUUUUCCAUUUAAAAAUAAUAACAAUAAUAAUUCAAAAUACUUAUUCAUGUUUAAGUUUAUUUAAAUAAUCAAAUCUUGUGAUAGUGUGAUUAUGAUAGGAUAUUUUAAUUUGAAUUUGAGUUUGAAUUCACUUUGUUGAUAUCAAAAAGCUAAACUGGUCUUUUUUCUCAAAUUUUUUGUUUUAAAUAAUUUUCAAACUUGAAAUUGUAUGAUACUUAUGUGUGUCAUUACUAUGUUUUUCCUAUUCUGUAUAAUAGAUUCAACUAUUCAUUCUAAAUUAUUAUACGUUAAUUGAUUAUUUUGUGUAAAUAUGUAUAAAAUUGUACAUAUUGGUUAUAAUAUAAUUUUAUAUAUGUGCAAUUGCAUAAACUAAAGAGUAGCAAUAAACCCUUAAAAUUAAUAUAAAAAUUGUAUAUGAAAGAUAAAUCUUCAUAGUAAUUUUGCUUAUAAUUUAUUUUACUGACUUUCAUUUUUUUUGGUAAACAUUUUACUGACUUUCAAAAUGUAUUAAUACAGUUAUCAUGGUUGAUACGUCUUCGACAUCAAUCUCAAUUCUUUCCGAAGGAACUACGAAAAUUGAUAUGAUAAUAAUAAAUAUCCACUAGCCAAACCUUGAUUUUUUAAAACUUUUGGCUUGAGUUGUGGCUUUGGAUAUAAUUCCUUGAUUAAUUUUUCAUACUCUUUUAGUUAUGAUAUCUAUUGUGGAUAAAAUCAAUUAUUUUUAUAAAUACUCAAUAAAAAAAAUUCUAAAAUUCACCAUUAUAUAUCGUUAAAUAGUUCGGAGCUAAAAGAAUUUAACAUAAUCCAUCGUUAAAUAAAAUUAGUAAUGAAUUUUUUAUUGUUUAGCGACAUAAACUAUCCAUCGCUAACUCCUAUUUUUAGUAUGUUUUGUAAUGUUGUUUUUAUAAUUAAACAAAUUUUAUAAAUAUGUGUGAAGUUAACUAGUCAUAUAAUAUAUGAUAUAAUGCAAUUUUAAUUGAUAUCUUCUUAAAAUAAAUGCACAGUUGUAUGUGAUGAAUACAGUGAGCUCUUAGAAAGCAAGCUAUGAAAGAUGGAGCUCAUCUCUACCUCAAAAAUAACAAGGAUGUUAAACAAAAGGACAACAUAAAGUGGACUGGGGAUCUUCAUGUCAAAUUCAUAAAAAGUUUACAACAGCUUGGUAAAGAAAGUAAGUUUAUUUUACUAUUAUUUAAUUUUUUUUUCAACUUAUGUCUAAAGAGAGACAUGAAUAUCUAUACUUAUGUCUAAUAUCAGCUUGUUUACAUGUACCUCUGCUUGAUUUGAAAAUGUUAGAGUUAUUAAAUUUUAUUGCAUACUUGAGGACCAUGUAGAAUGUUACCCAAAAGAUAUUCUGAAAAAUGAUGAAUGUCUCUGAUCUUACAAGGAUGCCAAUUGCAAAUCAUUUCUAGGUACGUCUAUAAAAAAAUUGAAGUGAUAAAUUAUAUAACUUUUGAAUGCAUUUACUACAGUUUUUCUGCAAAAAGAAAUUAUUUUAUAAAAGUUAUUUUCUCAAAUUUUUAUUUUACAAAAUGUUUUGGUUGAAACUAUUUUUUAUCAAACACUUGUCUGAGAAGUUAUUAUUUCUACAACUAUUUAAUUUUAAUAUUUUAUAUCUAUAGUGAAAAAAGAAAAACUAAUGUUAUAUCACUUUCACCAAAAAAUAUUUCUACAUAUCACUUUUACCAAUAAAUAUUUCGACAUUAUUCGACCUUUAGUUUUGGAAAACCUUAUCAAAACACUCAGUAAUUAAAAGGAUUAGAGAUGGACUUUGUUUAAUGAUAAAAGUUAAUUAAUCAUCGCUAAUUUCUAUAUUUUUGUAGUGACAAUGAAAUAACAUUAUUUUCAAUCUUUAAUUCAUAUUGUUUCAAAAGACUGUUAUCGUUCGGCAAUCAUCAAACAUCAAAAAUAUUUUUCAUUAAAAAUAACUCUGUAGUUCAUAUGAUAAUUUAAUAUAUUUAUGGUCUAAUUCUCUUCUUUUUCAUCUAACAUCUCUCAGAAACUUCACAGCAACAUCAAUUAAAAAUCUCCUGAUCAGCCCAGAAAUCAUGAGUGAUUCUCAAUAAAGACAUAGUAUUAGAAAAAUGGGGACAAUGUACUAUUUCUCCUACUUAACUAUUUACAAGUUUUAAUUUAGUUGAAUGGUUUUUUUUUUUUUUUUAAUAAAUUGUUGGGUUUUUAAAGCAUUUUAAUAUUAAAUUUGCUAUUGAAAUGUUGCAUGUUGACGUGCAUUGAAAUGCUGCAUACUGGAGUAUCUUUUGAUCUUUAUCUUCCAUGUUUAAUUGUGGAAGAAUGCAUGUGGCAUUUUUCUUUGGUAACUUUUGUUACAUCUCACUAAUUAUUCACUCAUUUUUCUAUCUCUUUAUGUUUUAUAACUCAGGUAACUUAAAAGCAUUCAUCUACCCACCUUCCUCUUAUUCAUUAUUUCGCCUAUGAUAUAGAAAAAGCAAAAGAGAAAGAUAUAGUGUUUAUAUUUUGAGUUUAGUAGACAGCUGCACCCACUGCACCACUAAUCAUACCUUGCAUGAAAUCAAAAUAUUCCAAAGUAUCAGAUACAAUAUAGGAAACAUAAAGAGGCCAAAGAAUCCUUGACCUUCUUCUUUUGGAAAAAUUAGAAUAAGAUGCAAAGUACCAGCACUAUAUUGAUUCUACAACCAUCAUAGGCUUAAUUUGUUGUCUUCAUCAAUAUCCUUUAUUCUCCAGCUUGCUGCACCCCUGUAUAAGAAUUCAUCUUCCUGAUGGUCCACCAAUUUACCAUAAUAUAGUCCAAAAGUAAUACUAAUUGGAUACCAUAAUAUAGUCCAAAAGUAAUACUAAUUGGAUAAGGGUAAAACUUAAAAGAGCAUGAAUGUUAUGUUUUGGAUGAGGAUGGUACUGAAAAAAAGAUUGUCCUGCUAUUAGUUAUUACUAUAGUAUUUUUGAGCCGCGGUUGAUAUGCUUAAUUCACCCAAAAUUACUCGCGCUUUGAAGCAAUGGUAAAAUUGUACUCCUGUAACCUAUGAAAAAAAAAUUGUCCCUGCUAUUAGUUAUUACUAUAGUAUUUUUGUGCCGCGGUUGAUAUGCUUAAUUCACCCAAAAUUGCUCGCGCUUUGAAGCAACGGUAAAAUUGUACUCCUAUAACCUAUAGAUCAAGGAUUUAACCAUCAUUCUCUUGAAGUAUGACCCUUAUCCAGACUCGGCUAAAUGCAGUAUGCUUCAUCCACCGGACAAGACCUUUUUUGGUUCCCUUAGUUCUACCUACCAUAUUUUGAGGUGUGGGGACACUAAAGCAGUAGUUGAACCAGUCUAGUGGGGAAAAAUUAGCAAAAAGACUUCGAAUCCUACUUUGAGGAGUCAAAAAAGGGACUCAAUUUAAUGUUUUUGAUGACUACUCAUUUUUCAUGGUUCCAUUUCUCAGCUUCCUACUCUUAGUUGAGUGUAGACUGUAGUAAAGGAGUAAUCAUGUUUCCCACCUUUCUCGCCUUCAAUAAUAAUUAGUAAUAAUUGAAGUUCAUAGGAACCCCUUGUCUAUUCAUCUUAAAUUCUAGACCAACCCUCUUCAAUUUCCAGCAAAAAUUUGUUAUAACAAUAAGCCAUUAGCAUCCCCCAACUAACGCCAACAUAAAGUUGAGACCAUACAACAUUUUUUAACCCCUUUUCGAGAUUCAUUCUGAUAAUUGAGUUGAUAUCCUUGUGGCAGAUUCAGUCGUGAAUUUGCGAGAAAGCAGUGUUCCAAAGCUUUAUUGUAUCUUUAUAAGACUCAUCUCUACCAGCUUGGAGAGUACUAUAUAGCUGAGGCUUUACUUGGGAUAUUGAGGUCUAAACAUUGCACUUCAUAGUCAAAUGCCAAUUCAAGAAAUUGGCACUAGCUAUAAUCUGGCAAAAUACUCCAAGCAUUUGAAAGCUAAGAACUAUUGUAAGUUUGUUGUUACCUUUCAAAGUUGUCAUCUGAUUGUGUUACAAAUAGGUGUAUCAAAUCAACCCUUUCGAUAGGGAAAAAAAAAAACACAAAACAUAGAACGCAAAAGUAUUGUGAGAAUUUCAAAAGGAAGGGGAAGUUUGAGUCGGCGAGGAGAAGGUUCAUUCGUAGAAACUAAGUUGUACAGACAUAAAUUUAGAAAUAUUAAAAAAAAGGAAAACUAAUAUUAAAUCAUGCACUGGAAGGACUCACUAAAACACAAAUUAAGUACUCCAUCUGGACUCCACUCCAGCAAAUUUUGGUUGAUUAGAUACCUCAACAUCCCUGUAGCCUAAAGUUCACUUAGGACACCAAAAACACACUUCACCAUAGAACAGAGAGCAAUUUCUUUUUUUCAAGCACAAUUUCCAAGACAACUGUCUAUGCAACAUAGAUCCCUUCGCGCAUCGUAGGCAUAAAUAUACAAGGCUGUUUUUCUUUUCAUUUUUGUAGUAAUAAAAAAAUUCAAGACUUCAUAGGCAUCUGAAUUCAUAAUACAAGCUGAAAGAACCACCUAAUCAGAAAUUUAACUGGUACGAUCUAUAUAACUAUUGCAUACUCACCAUACUUCAACCCAACUCAAAAUCAAGCAAAUUAGAACAACCAAAAGAAUGCCAGAAUGAUGGCACAGUAGGCAGUAGUUUCUAAGCUAUCAAGUAUCUGUCUCAAAGACCUCAAGUAGAAGCUGCUGCCUUCUUCCUUGGAGCUGCUUCAGUACCUGGACAAACAACAGUUAAAAGGUGUAUCAUUAUCUCAUACAAGUUACGACCAAAUAUUCUUGAUCAUCAAUUGUCAAUGUCUACACCAACAACUUAGUCAAACUAAAACAGGAAAGAUCACUCUGAAUUAUAGAUGUGUAUCUUUCACAAUCACUCACAAUUUUCAUGCAAAAUAUUUUGUGAAAAACAUCUUUAUAUUGAAAGUUUAUUUCAUAGAACUAUUUGCAGCAUUCGGUUGGGUACAAAGUCACCAACCGUACUCACUCAUACAAGGUGGACGACAAAGUGUAACAAUAGUGUUAAAUACUCCCAUCGAUCCCAUUAUGUGUGCCUCUUUCAUUUUUUAGUUGAGACCGAGGAAGACGACUUUCUGUCUUUAGUAACAAUUUAACUUUAAACUUCUCAUUUUACCCUUAAAGAGUGGAUUUAUAGCCACACAAAUAUCAACCGCUUAUUUUGGACAAUAAGUUUCAAAAAUAUUUCUUUCAUUCCUCAUGACCAAUCAAACACCUUUACAUAAAUUGGGGACAACGGGAGUAGUUGUGAUUAGGAUCCCCUCUAGUAUCUAUUUACUCCUGCUGCUCCAAUAACCUUGUUGACUUUUGACACGUGUCAUUUGUUAAAUCUCAUCACGAUUCGAUGAAGUGGCUAUGAUAGACUGUUUUAUAUAUCUCCAAGAUAUGACAGUACCCCACAUAUAAACACAUAGCCCGUUUGAGAUUGAGAUUUAUGUGGAUAAAUUAAUUACCCAAAAUCAGCAUAAUUAAUAAGAUCGAGACUACAAUCUUUAUAAUAAAAUAAGCUCAUGUGUUUUAUCUCAUUCUGAUGUCUCAUAGUAGGAGCAGAAAUAUACCUUGCUAAUAAAUUGAGUGAAAAGGCUAUAUCAGGCCUUGUAAUACUUGCAAGAUACAUUAGUGUUGUGCACUAAUUGCACUAAGAUAUGGUACUUCAUAUUUCUCAUUUCAGCAAAUAAUCUUAUUGCUUUUGAAAACUCUCCAAGAGUUUUAAUGAUUUUCAAACCAUCAAUUUAUCCUCUAUAAGGAUAAUAAACAAGUUUUCCAGAAACUUUAUAUGCUUCAGGCAUUUUGAAUCCUUUUGGGAUUUCCAUAUGGAUUUUUGUCAAGUGACAAUAUCCAACAUGUCAAGUGUGACAUCUUCAAGUGUCUGGACUACAAAUCAAAUAAGUUUUAUACUUACCAAAAUGCAUCCUUUCAGAUCACUUGAUAAAUAUUUCUAUGUCAGCAUGCUUAAAUCAACGUAGAAUUCGGAUCCUCGUAAUCUUUCACAAUAUUGUGUUAAUAUUGUAUCAAAGAUACCAUCGACGGUUUCUUAUUUUGUAUCGGUUCAUAAUGUGACAUAACAUUUUGAGAUCUCAUCACUUCAUUAUUUUUAGGUACCUGAAUUUAUUAUAAGAUUUCAUGAAGUGUUAUGUCAUAGGCUCUUCAAGAGCACAUUACCUUCUUAUUAUGAUUAUUUGCUCCUUGUUUCAUUUGGAACCGAUUAGUCUACCAUGUUUCAUGCAUUCAUAGACUUUUUUCUUCAAAGACACAAAAUAGAAACAUUUUCAACUUAAAUAUGAGAUGCUUUUGGCAUUUGACUUGAAUUAUCUUAUGAAUGAGGAUCUUAUGAUAAUUCCUAACAUAUUUCAUAGCUUCUUAUAAUCUGCCCCUUAUGUUAGGAAAACUAACAUUCAUCCUCAUCUUCUUUGAGGAUUCCAUCUUUUGUGCAUCAUGGUAUAUUCAUUAAUCGUAUACCGCACAUUAACUAUUAGAUGGACAACGUGUGAUUCCUGACUUAGAACCAACUUUGAGGGGAAAUUAAUCAUAAUUUAUUGGUUUGAUGCAUACAAGUACUUUUGUAUAUAAUAUUUCAAACCAACACAUGAAGCUUUUUGUUCUCAAUGGUUUAACUAUUUAUUGAAGGCAUUCAAUGCCAAACAAUUUUCAUCAAAAUGAAUUGUUUCGAUUGUACAAUCUAAAAGUUAUUCUCUUAACUCAAUUUUAUUGAGCAAGAAACCUUAUGAAUGUCAAACUACAGGUUCACAAUAAAUGCAUAAGUGAUCAUCGUAUAUUGAUGCAUCUUAAUUGACCACAUGACUGGUGAACGGGCCCAUAUUCACCUUUUAUGCUUUUCAGAUUUUAACAGAUCCAAUCCUAAUAUUAGUUGGUCCAACCAACUUAUAGCAACAUUAAAAGUAAUGAAGAAUGUUCUAAUUCUUCAAUAUAUGUUCAAUACUCAAUAUGCACAUCUUUGGGAUGACGCAAUUGUUCAUGUCAAUUUAUGAACUUUUAUUCUAGUAAACUCCAAGUUUACCAUGACUUAUGCUUUUGUUUUAGUAAAUUUUAGAUUUACUAUUCCAUUACUACUUUAGAAGUAGAUUUCUAAAUAACUUUUCUCAGUUAUUCUACCUCUUGCGGGGGUGAGUUAUGAUACCAUCACAAUCAAGUGCACAUUUACAUUAAUAUGCUUCUCAUUCUCCAGGAAUAGAAUAUAAUCGUGCUUUAAACCUAUCAAAUUUUGAUAGCUUAUAACCUCUUUCAUGAUAUUGCUACUUCAAGUGCAAAUCGAGGCAUAUAUCAUAUAUUGCUACCACAUUCACUUCAAGAAUGGAGAAAAUUACAUCUUUCGGACUUAUCAUAUAUUGCUACUGCAUUUCCUUAUUGGAAUGGAGCAUAAUUAAUUGGACAAAUUCAUGUCUUUUUAUCAAAAACAUAUGUACUGAGAUUCAAACUCAAUAUCUUAUCCAUUUAAAGGCGUCUUAGGCAUAAAUCGACUGUCUUAGCCAUCAUUAUACCAUCAAUAUGGUGCAUUGAGAUUCAAACUCAAUGUCUUAUCUAUUUAAAGGUGUCGUAGGCAUAAAUCGAUUGCCUUAGCCAUCAUCAAUUUAAAAUUGUACAAAUUGUCGCAGUGCGAACAUAACACUCCAAAAUAUAAUAAUAAACAUAAGUUAAUAUGAACAAACCUAAUACCGUAUAAUAAUAAAAUAAAAAAUUUUACCUUUUACAUAAAAUACUAAUAUAUGUAAGGAUAUAUGGAUUACGAAUACAAACAGAGAAAGAAAUUUUCUCUCAAUAUCCAUAGGCCUAUUGACACUGUAACUUGUUCCCUUUUCUUUAAUCUCUCUAAUUUAAUAGCAUUAAAUCUUUAAGAUAAAGCAGGUAACUCUAAUUUAAUCUUUCACAAUAUCCCCUCAAACUUACACAUCAAACUGCAGCACGAUAUAAAUUCUAUCGUCAAACAAUAUCAGCAUGCAAGUGACAAUGAAUGUAAUAAUCACUAAAAGGGGUAAGAAAUUAAAUAAUCAAAACAUUAUGUAAUAAAGAUAAGUUUUGCAAAUCACCAAAAAUAAAAAUUAAUUGAAACGGGUUACCAAUUUACUUCUGUAAAAGAUAAACGAAUUAUCCACAACCAUGAGUUUACCGUGACCAACAGAGUUUCGUCAGGAAGAAAACAACCGCAGCAGGUCUAAUGGCUUGUAUCUCAAAUAGCAAAUCAUGUAUUAACUAAUAUAAUACUAAUUAAUUUCUUCAUGAUUAACAAAACUGAAUGCCAACAGUAUAUAUAUCCAAAGACCACUUUAACCAAAUCAUUAUAAUGAACAUUAUAUGCUGUGUGUAGACACCUAAUUUUAUCUCUUCCAAGUCCAAUUUUAUUUAUUUUUACCUCACUUUAUCGUACACCCUCACCCAUGUGAUUAUACCCCACAAAAAUACAAAAAUUAACAACCCUUAACAAACCCAAUCCCCAAUUAUUCUCUUGGUAACAAAUUUUAUCUCAACCAACUCACACCUCACUACCCUACCCCACCCUCCUACCCACAUGACCCCCUCACAUUUCUUCUCCAAAAAUUUUUUUAAAAAAAGGAUAUACAUGGGACACACACACAAUUCACGGAGAGCUCACCAUUUUUUUUAUACACACACAGACGAAAAAAAAAAAAGAGCUGAGGCACAUAUACACAGACCUCCAUUUAUUUUAUUUUCCUUGCUCUCACCAUGAACCCGCAGAUUACACAUAAAACCCUUCAUGGAUGAACAUUUCAACAUAGCUUGAUGUUCCAUUAACACCAAAAAAAGAAAAAAAAUUAAAGAUGGCAACACACACUCACAUACUCUCCACCCAUCAUCACUCUCACAUCCCACCCAUCCACCACGGAGGCACACAAAGAGAGCUAGAGAGAAAACACACACUACACGGAGAGAUUCGAGAAUGCUACAGAAAAACUGUGAGAGAAAGAAGUAGAAAAAAACUGUAGGAAGGAACGAAAUUUUAGAUCGCCAGUCACUGUUCCGGCAAUCUACUCACCGAAAAAAAUCCACCCACAACUCGCCGGAAUCCAACCAAUUUUAGUCAGUUUCUUUCACUGUUAGCUCACCAAAGUCUAUUUGUCGAGGUUCUCAGUUCUCCGUCGAGAAUUGGGUUUGAGUUUCGUCGUUGUUGUUUGAAAUGGGUCGGUCAAUUUUGUUCAAGUUAGUUCGAGUUUUGGGUUAUUGAAGUCGGGAGUUCGUUGUUGGGGAAUUUUUGUUCAAGGUAUUCUGGCGCCGCUCCGUCAAACAUUUCAAUUGAAAUAAUACGUCAAAUUUGAGGUCCAUUUUCAAUCUUUGCUUUUUACUUAUUAUUUCAUUGUUCAUAAUAGUCCGUGUUAUGGUUUGGACGUUGUCUAUUGUUUGAGCUUUGUUGAUGGUGAAUAAUUUCUUGGUUUUUAUUCAUUGAUUGAUUUCGUUGAUUAUGAAUUGUAUGAUAAAAUGGUAUUUCGCAUUUGAGAAUUAAAAUUAAUUGU
rnacentral:lncRNA from 1 species